GACAGAGGUGCCGAGCGUUAGGCGGAAUCACUGGGCUUAAAGCGUGUGUAGGCGGACUUCUAAGUACCUUGUGAAAUCCCACGGCUCAACCGUGGAACUGCUGGGUAUACUGGUUGUCUUGAGCCACUUAGGGGCAGUCGGAACAGAUGGUGGAGCGGUGAAAUGCGUAGAUAUCGGGAGGAACACCUGUGGCGAAAGCGGCGCACUGGACCAUAACUGACGCUGAGGCGCGAAAGCUAGGGGAGCAAACAGG
rnacentral:rRNA from 1 species